AUUGAACGCUGGCGGCAGGCCUAACACAUGCAAGUCGAGCGGAUGAUGGGGGCUUGCUCCCGGAUUCAGCGGCGGACGGGUGAGUAAUGCCUAGGAAUCUGCCUGGUAGUGGGGGACAACGUUUCGAAAGGAACGCUAAUACCGCAUACGUCCUACGGGGGAAAGCAGGGGACCUUCGGGCCUUGCGCUAUCAGAUGAGCCUAGGUCGGAUUAGCUAGUUGGUGGGGUAAAGGCCUACCAAGGCGACGAUCCGUAACUGGUCUGAGAGGAUGAUCAGUCACACUGGAACUGAGACACGGUCCAGACUCCUACGGGAGGCAGCAGUGGGGAAUAUUGGACAAUGGGCGAAAGCCUGAUCCAGCCAUGCCGCGUGUGUGAAGAAGGUCUUCGGAUUGUAAAGCACUUUAAGUUGGGAGGAAGGGCAGUAAGUUAAUACCUUGCUGUUUUGACGUUACCAACAGAAUAAGCACCGGCUAACUUCGUGCCAGCCGCCGCGGUAACAC
rnacentral:rRNA from 1 species